CACAGAGGGUGCAAGCGUUGUUCGGAAUUAUUGGGCGUAAAGGGCGCGUAGGCGGUGCGGUAAGUCACCUGUGAAAUCUCCUGGCUCAACUGGGAGCUUGCAGGCGAAACUGCCGUGCUGGAGUGUGGGAGAGGUGCGUGGAAUUCCUGGUGUAGCGGUGAAAUGCGUAGAUAUCAGGAGGAACACCUGUGGCGAAAGCGGCGCACUGGACCACAACUGACGCUGAGGCGCGAAAGCUAGGGGAGCAAACAGG
rnacentral:rRNA from 1 species